rnacentral:misc_RNA from 1 species
UAUUUUGAGGGUAUCUCUGGUGUGCCUAAAAUAAAGAACAACUACAAUCCAGCAACAUGGAUGUUAGAGGUUACAUCAACAUCUAGUGAAGCUGAGACCAGCAUAGACUUCGCUGAAGUAUAUAAGAAUUCUGCUCUACACAAAAAUAACGAAGAGCUUGUGAAAAAACUGACUUUCCCACCAGCUGGUUCAAAAGAUUUGCAUUUCCCCACCCAAUUUUCACAGAAUGGCUGGGGACAAUUCAAGACUUGCUUCUGGAAGCAAUACUGGUCCUAUUGGAGGAGUCCUUCAUACAAUUUGAUGCGCUCUCUGCACAUGCUUUUUGCUUCCGUUGUUUUUGGAUUGCUUUUCUGGAACAAGG